GGCCGAGCCGCCUGGGGAGGGGCCAGGCCCAGACCCCCCUGCCCCCCCAAAGAAAGGGGGGGAUGGGACCCCCUGCUCCAUCACUUGCCGCUAUGUGGGGCGGCAGAUCGCCUCGGCUCUGCGUCGGGACGACCCUGGGGCGCCCCUGCCCCCCAGCCGGCGCAGGGACCUAGGUGACAAGAAAGAUGUAACCCUCCCGGCCAGUGGUGGCUCCGUUGGACUCUAUCCACCAAGGCACACCCCCCUGCUCCCAGCAGAACGGGGGGCACCGGGGCGGCCUGCUUGAGGCUCACAGUGGGGUUGGUGGGGGCCAAUGACGGUUCAUCUGGCAACUCCCAGAGUCGUGGGCAGCGGACGGACCCGAGACACUGACCCCCUCCCCGACCUCACUGUACCCCAAAAAGGAAUUCAGAAUAAAGAGGUUUUGGAGGCCA
rnacentral:lncRNA from 1 species